rnacentral:lncRNA from 1 species
UGCUUGCGUACUUUAAUUAUAAAGUUACCUUAUAUUUUACAUUACCAGAAUAUCAGUAUUAAAGUAUUUUUCACCUUUUUACCGCACUUUUAUAUACGAUCAACUAAAAAGUUACUGAAAUUACGACCGAUGUUGUUUAAGAAGGGACUUUCCCAAGGAAUUUUCGAAUUUUCUUGAAAUACAUAGUGUAUCAAAAACAAAACUGAACAGAUUUGAAAUUCCUCUCAAUUUCGCAAAACAGCUAUUAGUAUCCAGUUUUAUAUAUAUAUAGUUUCUUUGGGUACUUAUGUAGAAUAAUGAAAAAAAUUUCUCGAACUCAAAUUUUGUAAACCAGGAAUGUGGUUUUUUUUCUCCAUCAAACUAAAAAUGGCUUGCGCACGAAAUUUAAAAGCUUUAAUCGUAUUUUGAGUUAAUGGGUGGAAACUUUGUUGGGUUUUUAAUUACUGUACAAAAUUAAAGGGAUGAAACUAAAGCAAAUUGUCUGACAUUUUGUAGAGUAAUUAAAAACCCAACAAAUUUUCCAUCUAUUAACCCAAAAUUCGAUUAAAGCUUUUAAAUUUCGUGCGCGAGACAUUUUUAGUUUGUUGGAAAAGAAACACUAGCAUGGUUUAGACAAUUUGAGUUCGAGUAUUUUUUUUAAUUAUUCUACAUUAUGGGUACUCAAGGAAUCUAUAUAUAACAAAAACUUGAUACCACGAGCUCUUCUGCGAAAUUGAGAGCAAUUUCAAAUCUGUUCAGUUUUUUAUGCACCCUGUCCUUGUAUAACAAAAUUAGUCUAAGAAUUUUAGUUGCCUGACUAUAAUUUGCUUGUAAACAACGUAAACAUAAACUUGUUCUGGAAAUGUCGAGUGUCGCUAGUACUGAUAUCGAAAAGGACGAAUACACUCAAUACAGUAAGUUCAUGAUAAAGCUCCUGCAUGAAAGAGAUAACGAAUGAUAUCUUUGACAACCUGAAGUAUGUUAACGCAACGCCAUGAAAUCGAAGCUGCGACAAUCGAGAAGCUGCGAAAACCUUUGGAUCUUUUCAGAGAGCUUGAAAAACAAGAUUUUGUCAGGCAUGGAAGACCUAGACGGGCUCUGGAAGUUGCUAGAAAUGUCCAGGAACCAGGUGCAAUUUCAGAAAAUAUCCACAAACUAAAGCAAGAAGAAUUCAAGCAUAGCCUAUCGAAGGGAAGAUGGCUGUGAAACUCAUUAGAAUAACAAUAUAACUGAUUCUCUAUGUUGGUCAACGUUUAUUCAUAAAUCUGGUCCUUUACCGUCACGUGUGUAUUGUAUUCUUGCCCAAUUAACCAAUAGCAAUGUUUUAGGAAAGUCACCUAUCCGUGACUCGAACAACAGGGAAAUUGGAAAUUGCUAUUGGUGGAUUUGGUCAAAAUACAAUACACACGUGACGGUGAAGGACCAGAUUUAUGAAUAAACGUUGACUAACAUCAUGAUGAGUUAUAUUGUUAUUCUAAUGAGUUUUACAGCCAUCUUCCCUUCGAUAGGCUAUGAUUCAAGGACUUUCAAGACUUUAUACGAACCCUAUUACCAGCGUAAUGGCAGAUUUAAAUUCCGGGAAAUAAGAACCAGUUAAAGACCAACUCUGCAUGGCCUCAUUUCUAAUUACCUAUUACAUUAGCCCGACAUCGAUCAGACGAUGCGAGAGAUUGCGAAACAAUAAAGCAAAGCCUGCCCCGCGAAAGUGAAAUUAUUUAGAAAAUAUAUGCAUAAUUAUAGUUUCAUUAGCAAAAUUGCAAUAUCUAAAGCCUCUUGUGUGUCAAGGCAUAACCCCUUGCCGCUCUAAAUAUUUGACGUCGUAGAUACUUGAGCUAUCGACUUAUUUAGUCCCAGUCCUCUUGGCAUCCAAAAUGUUUGGCGAUUCCCGAGUUAUUUGUUGGGAAUUAUUAUCAAAAGCAACAGAUCAUAUUGUCGUUGGUAAUAACGGAGUCACAAAUUGGAGUAUUUUGUUGUCCCAAUAUAUGC